rnacentral:tRNA from 1 species
GGACCCAUAGCUCAGCUGGAUAGAGCACCGGCCUACGGAGCCGGUUGUCGUAGGUUCGAAUCCUACUGGGUCCG